CAAUGAGCUUACGUGCUAGAUAGAGUGGGGUAUAGUGACACCAGGUAAGUGUAGGGUAGAAAAGUAGGUUGUUAGAAUAGUAUGUUCUGAGGGCUUAGUGGGGGUUUUUUGUUUGUGGUUUUUUUUUUUUUAAAUGACAGUUGUAGCAGAGGAAUCCGGUUGAGGGAAGGAAAAGUUAUUAGUUUAAUUGAUAUGCUUUCCUUGAAAAGUGGGUUUUCAAUGUUUUUUUUUUGAAGGAAUGGACACUGGGGGAGAGUCUAGUGGAGGGUGAAGGCAGGCAUCAGAGGUAGGUGUAUGAACAGAGGAUAGAAGCAGUCACCUGGGCGGGACAUGCUUGUGUAUUAGGAAGGAUAGGUAGGUUGGAGCAGCAUUAUGUAGAGAUUUGUAAGUACUAGAAUGUUAAAUUGUGCCCUAUAUCUAACGGAAAGCCACUGUAGAGAUUGACAAAGGUCAGAGGUGCGAGCGGACAGGAACAUGAGCCUCACCGCCAAAUUCAUUAUAGACUGUAAUGAGGCAAGUUGGGAACACAUAAGACCACUGAAAAGCGGAUUGCAGUAGUCAAGGCGAGAGAGGAUAGCGGUGUGAGCCAGCACAUUAGUUGCGUCCUGGUUACAUGCUAUGUUUUUGAUAUGGAAGUGACAAGAUUUGGUGAUCAAUUGGAUAUGAGGGAUGAAGGAGAGGUCGGAAUCAGAGAGAACACCUAGGCACCGAGCCUGCAAGAUAGAGCUGGUGGUAUCACGGUUGACAUGGAGGGAGGGAGACAUGGGAGUAGCAGCACUUAAGUGUUACUUUGGUAACAUCCAUUUAAAAACCUUGAGAAGUGUGGAAUCUAGACUGGAGCAUGUCUAGUUAGAUUCAAGGAAAUCUGUCAGUUCUGUCAGACACAACUCUCUCAAGGAUCGUGGAGGCAAGCAGCAGCUGCAGCAGCGAGAUUGGGUGGUAGUUAGGCUCAAGGUUGGAUUUUUUCAGAAUCGGGGUUACGGUUGCAUGUUUGUAGGGUGAAGGAAAUGUGCAAGAGGAGAGGGGGAGAUUAAAAAUUAUAGUAAGAGGCAGAGACAGAGUGUGCAUGAGAUUCGAGGUGGUGGGGCGGGAGGACCGGAGCAGAGCAGAGAUCUCUUCCACUGUAGUGGGUGCGAAUGAGCAUAAAACGACAAAAGGGAGUAUGAUACUAUGUGGAAAACGGUUUUCCACCAGACCUGUUUUUGUAGGUAACGUUUGUUGUGUACCCCGUCUCAUUUUGAUAUGAUGGACCACACAUUUGUCAGCCCCCUAACAUCAAUCACAGCUAAAAAAGGAUUGGACAGACACAUAUAACUGAUAAAAUUGUUCAGACCCUAAGGACAUCUUUUUAAAUCUGUUUGGAACCAAAUCUUUCCCAAAUUACAUCCAAAAUUAAUUCAAGAGGUCAUUGGUUUUUAAUUUGUGUUAUUGACAUGGAGACUUGUUUUGAAAAAAAAUCUCUAAAAUUUGGAUUCAUUAAAG